rnacentral:rRNA from 1 species
UUAAGCGACUAAGCGUACACGGUGGAUGCCCUGGCAGUCAGAGGCGAUGAAGGACGUGCUAAUCUGCGAUAAGCGUCGGUAAGGUGAUAUGAACCGUUAUAACCGGCGAUUUCCGAAUGGGGAAACCCAGUGUGUUUCGACACACUAUCAUUAACUGAAUCCAUAGGUUAAUGAGGCGAACCGGGGGAACUGAAACAUCUAAGUACCCCGAGGAAAAGAAAUCAACCGAGAUUCCCCCAGUAGCGGCGAGCGAACGGGGAGGAGCCCAGAGCCUGAAUCAGUGUGUGUGUUAGUGGAAGCGUCUGGAAAGGCGCGCGAUACAGGGUGACAGCCCCGUACACAAAAAUGCACAUGCUGUGAGCUCGAUGAGUAGGGCGGGACACGUGGUAUCCUGUCUGAAUAUGGGGGGACCAUCCUCCAAGGCUAAAUACUCCUGACUGACCGAUAGUGAACCAGUACCGUGAGGGAAAGGCGAAAAGAACCCCGGCGAGGGGAGUGAAAAAGAACCUGAACCCGUGUACGUACAAGCAGUGGGAGCCUCUUUUAUGGGGUGACUGCGUACCUUUUGUAUAAUGGGUCAGCGACUUAUAUUCUGUAGCAAGGUUAACCGAAUAGGGGAGCCGAAGGGAAACCGAGUCUUAACUGGGCGUUAAGUUGCAGGGUAUAGACCCGAAACCCGGUGAUCUAGCCAUGGGCAGGUUGAAGGUUGGGUAACACUAACUGGAGGACCGAACCGACUAAUGUUGAAAAAUUAGCGGAUGACUUGUGGCUGGGGGUGAAAGGCCAAUCAAACCGGGAGAUAGCUGGUUCUCCCCGAAAGCUAUUUAGGUAGCGCCUCGUGAAUUCAUCUCCGGGGGUAGAGCACUGUUUCGGCAAGGGGGUCAUCCCGACUUACCAACCCGAUGCAAACUGCGAAUACCGGAGAAUGUUAUCACGGGAGACACACGGCGGGUGCUAACGUCCGUCGUGAAGAGGGAAACAACCCAGACCGCCAGCUAAGGUCCCAAAGUCAUGGUUAAGUGGGAAACGAUGUGGGAAGGCCCAGACAGCCAGGAUGUUGGCUUAGAAGCAGCCAUCAUUUAAAGAAAGCGUAAUAGCUCACUGGUCGAGUCGGCCUGCGCGGAAGAUGUAACGGGGCUAAACCAUGCACCGAAGCUGCGGCAGCGACACUGUGUGUUGUUGGGUAGGGGAGCGUUCUGUAAGCCUGCGAAGGUGUGCUGUGAGGCAUGCUGGAGGUAUCAGAAGUGCGAAUGCUGACAUAAGUAACGAUAAAGCGGGUGAAAAGCCCGCUCGCCGGAAGACCAAGGGUUCCUGUCCAACGUUAAUCGGGGCAGGGUGAGUCGACCCCUAAGGCGAGGCCGAAAGGCGUAGUCGAUGGGAAACAGGUUAAUAUUCCUGUACUUGGUGUUACUGCGAAGGGGGGACGGAGAAGGCUAUGUUGGCCGGGCGACGGUUGUCCCGGUUUAAGCGUGUAGGCUGGUUUUCCAGGCAAAUCCGGAAAAUCAAGGCUGAGGCGUGAUGACGAGGCACUACGGUGCUGAAGCAACAAAUGCCCUGCUUCCAGGAAAAGCCUCUAAGCAUCAGGUAACAUCAAAUCGUACCCCAAACCGACACAGGUGGUCAGGUAGAGAAUACCAAGGCGCUUGAGAGAACUCGGGUGAAGGAACUAGGCAAAAUGGUGCCGUAACUUCGGGAGAAGGCACGCUGAUAUGUAGGUGAAGUCCCUCGCGGAUGGAGCUGAAAUCAGUCGAAGAUACCAGCUGGCUGCAACUGUUUAUUAAAAACACAGCACUGUGCAAACACGAAAGUGGACGUAUACGGUGUGACGCCUGCCCGGUGCCGGAAGGUUAAUUGAUGGGGUUAGCGCAAGCGAAGCUCUUGAUCGAAGCCCCGGUAAACGGCGGCCGUAACUAUAACGGUCCUAAGGUAGCGAAAUUCCUUGUCGGGUAAGUUCCGACCUGCACGAAUGGCGUAAUGAUGGCCAGGCUGUCUCCACCCGAGACUCAGUGAAAUUGAACUCGCUGUGAAGAUGCAGUGUACCCGCGGCAAGACGGAAAGACCCCGUGAACCUUUACUAUAGCUUGACACUGAACAUUGAGCCUUGAUGUGUAGGAUAGGUGGGAGGCUUAGAAGUGUGGACGCCAGUCUGCAUGGAGCCGACCUUGAAAUACCACCCUUUAAUGUUUGAUGUUCUAACGUUGACCCGUAAUCCGGGUUGCGGACAGUGUCUGGUGGAUAGUUUGACUGGGGCGGUCUCCUCCUAAAGAGUAACGGAGGAGCACGAAGGUUGGCUAAUCCUGGUCGGACAUCAGGAGGUUAGUGCAAUGGCAUAAGCCAGCUUGACUGCGAGCGUGACGGCGCGAGCAGGUGCGAAAGCAGGUCAUAGUGAUCCGGUGGUUCUGAAUGGAAGGGCCAUCGCUCAACGGAUAAAAGGUACUCCGGGGAUAACAGGCUGAUACCGCCCAAGAGUUCAUAUCGACGGCGGUGUUUGGCACCUCGAUGUCGGCUCAUCACAUCCUGGGGCUGAAGUAGGUCCCAAGGGUAUGGCUGUUCGCCAUUUAAAGUGGUACGCGAGCUGGGUUUAGAACGUCGUGAGACAGUUCGGUCCCUAUCUGCCGUGGGCGCUGGAGAACUGAGGGGGGCUGCUCCUAGUACGAGAGGACCGGAGUGGACGCAUCACUGGUGUUCGGGUUGUCAUGCCAAUGGCACUGCCCGGUAGCUAAAUGCGGAAGAGAUAAGUGCUGAAAGCAUCUAAGCACGAAACUUGCCCCGAGAUGAGUUCUCCCUGACUCCUUGAGAGUCCUGAAGGAACGUUGAAGACGACGACGUUGAUAGGCCGGGUGUGUAAGCGCAGCGAUGCGUUGAGCUAACCGGUACUAAUGAACCGUGAGGCUUAACCUU